rnacentral:tRNA from 5 species
GGGCCUUUAGCUCAGUCGGUAGAGCAGCGGACUUUUAAUCCGUUGGUCGCGAGUUCGAAUCUCGCAGGGCCCACCA